UACGGGGGGAGCAAGCGUUGUUCGGAUUUACUGGGCGUAAAGGGCUCGUAGGCGGCCAACUAAGUCAGACGUGAAAUCCCUCAGCUUAACUGGGGAACUGCGUCUGAUACUGGAUGGCUUGGAUUUGGGAGAGGGAUGCGGAAUUCCAGGUGUAGCGGUGAAAUGCGUAGAUAUCUGGAGGAACACCGGUGGCGAAGGCGGCAUCCUGGACCACAUUGACGCUGAGGAGCGAAAGCCAGGGGAGCAACGGG
rnacentral:rRNA from 1 species